rnacentral:tRNA from 1 species
GCCUGGCUAGCUCAGUUGGUAGAGGAUGGGACUUUUGAUCCCAGGAUUGUGGGUUUGAGCCCCAUGCUAGGUG